GCACAAGUCUGGCUUGCAUUUCCUUCCUCGAAGGCACUAACUAGUGUUGGAAUUGAUCUACGGUUAUAACAAACUGAGACAAAGAAGGGGAGGAUUUGCAUCCCCAGUACAUGCCCUGAUCGGGGGCAUUGACCCAACUUUUGGUUUUGGUCCCUGUCCCCUUCGCACCACUUACAAAAUGAGGAGGUCGUACCCCUUGGGGUGAAACACACGUACGAAACACACGUACGGGUUAGCACCCAGUUACUCCUAACAGCCGAUCCUGAAAGGGUGCUUAAGGGGAUCAGAAGACCACCUCCACCGCCGGCCACCUCCAGGUCCGUGCCGGCGGCAUCCUUCGUGUCUGCUACAUCGCCUGCUGAUGCCCUUCCUCCCGACGAUCUUCUCACUGCUGGAGAUGCUAAGGUGGAGCCAGGGGCUAUCCUGUUAAUGGAUCAAGAUAAUCACGGUUAGUAACCACUAUUCUGCUUGAUGGGUGUUCUAAUCAAGAGAUCCAGAUCCUAGUUAUCUUAACUCUAAAGUAUUAUUGUUAACAUUGGUAUCUUGAGCCAGUUUGAUCUCUGUUUAAGAACUCCAAUUAGACUCGGUUUAUGUUAUUUACUAAUCAUGGUUUAAUUCCUUACGAAUUUGAGUAAUGUUCAUGUAUAAAUCGCUUCCGCUUACAGAAUAAUGAUGAUGACAUCUGGGUUAAGUGCUAAUUGCCCUGACUAAUGUUUGCUAAUUAUGAAAUAGCCGAAAUUAAAUUUUCGCCUAAUAUAUUAGCACUGAUUGUGGCCUCGGUUCAGAAAAGGAUUCAAAUUUUUUUUAAGAAAAGAUCCCGAAAAAAAAAAGCAGUUUUUCCCCAAAUCCCGAGCACUAGAAGCAAAGAAUAAAUCCUCAACAUGUUUGGGCUGGGGUUGCUUACCCGCUCCAGAUUGGAGAUGUUGCCGUGCCGCACACACAUCAUAGACGCCUACGAGCAUGGCCACCACGCCAUGCGCGUCAACGUCAGUACCUCAUGCUGCAGCAGCAUCGUUGAAGGCGUGCCAUCGCCAUUCGCAGCGGCGGACGAGCCGCAGGUUUACGACGCCUAAUGGAUGACGCCGAGUGCCUCGCUUCACCGCUGGCGGGCACUUAUGGCCGACCUAGCACCACUGCUCUCUCCUCCGGCAUCCCGCAAUAAAUGUCGUGUAGCUGCACGGGUGGCCACGCUCGACGGAGCAGCGCGCGGGAUCCCUCCGUUGCACGCUGCUCCGGCGAGCGGAGCCGCCGAACCGCCAUGGACACCGGGCUCUCGCGCCUUGCUUUGUGCCGCCGCCAGUGGCGUUUCUGGUCGGUCGCGAGCGGAGAAAGCGGGGGAGGAGAGAAGAAUGCGCUAGGCUUUGCCAGCGCGAGUCAGUUUUGUUCCGAAGGAAGCAACUUACAACCGUUAGAUGGGAUCGACGGCUGACGUUGAUGCUCCGCUGCAGUCGGGCUGCGGGUGGCUUAGCGGGCCUAAUCUGGCCGUAGGCUACGACCCAGGUCGUGUUGGCCCAGUAUAAAGUUUUCUUAUGUUAACGAAUUUAGCUGCUGGAUCGUUCCUUUUAUGGGUUGCCGUUGGUUUUAGGCCGAAAAUAAGUAUCGAGUCGUUUUGUUUAUUUUCAGUGCAUUUGAUGUGUUUCAAGUGGACUAAAAAAAGGGUUGUUUCAAGUUUUCUUUUGAUGGUUUAUGCACUGUUUUAUUAAGAAACAAUAUGCCCAAAAAUGUCUAACAGGCAGUAUUAAUAAUGAUAUUGUUUUUUCUUUAAAGGGCUGCUGUGGGUUCCUAUCAGCCAAAUUAUGUCUUUUAGGCAAUUGGUAUUUUUGGUGCUUUUGAAUCAUGUUGUUAAUAUUAGUAAUAAUUUAUUUUAUGCACUGUUAAUACGUCUUGAUUGCCUAAAUUAUGCUAAAGAUAAUGUUUGAAUUUUCUGAAUAAAAUGGACCAAUGAGAAAUUUCAUUUGGAAAAUAUUAAUGUGGUAUAAUGUAAAUGCCAUAUAUGGCAUUUUUAGUGGUGGUAUUUUAUUUUUAUCAUUUUAAAGUUUAAAUAUUAAUGUUAUGAAAUGACAUUUGUCAUGAUCACAAUCUAUAAUGUUUCAUUUCGUAAUGUUUCAAAUAUUUUAUAUGCAAACUUAUUUGAGUGUGAAUUUAAUGUUGAUGCCAUACUUAUGACUUUUUCUUAAAGAUGUGGUAAUUUCUAAUGGGCUCGGGCCACCUCAAGGAAAAUGAUGAUGGACGCGUGGUUCGGUUUUCCGCACCGCACUAUGUGUCAUAAUAAUGUUGGGGCAUUAUGUCUAUUGGGCAAAAUAAAGUUUUUUGCUUGGUGCAUUUCAUGUCAUUUUAUUAUGAUAUACACCAUUGAAAUAUGCAUAAAGACUCAAAUAAUGUUUAUUGGGUUAUGAUCAAUCCCCUAAACAAAAAAAAUUGUUUUCGAAAGUACAUGUUGUCAUAUGUUUGACAACUCUUAUUUGCCAAAUGUUGUUAUUUUGUGAAUCCUUGCGAAAAAUUUAUGUCCAAUUUUUUUUUGGGAAAAUGUUAUGAUAUCCUGGCAAUAAUAUUAAUGGUAUUUUCACUCUGAAUGUCCUCUUUAGUGUUUACUCGGUGAGAGUAACAUUUAUGUUUAUAUGUUAAUUCCAAUGUCAUUUUCAUUGUAUGUCAUUGAGAAUUCUAAUGAUAAUUUUGACACUUAUGUUCAAUAUUCAUAUUAUCAUUGUGAGAUUUAGUGUCAAAAGGCAUCAGUGUGCCUCAUGGCACACAUGAUUAUAUUAUGACAUUGCUUUAUGUUAAUGAUGGCAAUUAAUUUAGUCGUAGUUCUUGCUGGUCAUUACAAGAUUUUAUAUCUCUCUGGUCAAAAUGGAACCAACGAGAAGUUUUGAUUAGAGAUUUAAUGAGCAAAUGUUCUAAUUGCAUAUGAUGAUAUUCUGGCCAACAUUGCUUGUGUUUCUCAUGUGUCAUUUACGAGUAAGUAAGGUUCUUUCUCAUUAUCUACCCAACGGUGAUAUAGAUUAGAAUAUAAAAUUAAGCAUGUUCUUUAUUCAUCUUAUUGUGUGGUUAGUUUAUGCUUGAUUCUCUGUUAUGAUGAUCAUACAGUUGUCUCCUUUUUUUUUCAACAAUAAUAAUGAUGUCAAACAAAUGUUUGACAUAGACGAACCUUAUGCAAAGAACUUUCCCACAUGGAGAGUGGAGAUCAUUGUCUCAUGUAAGGAAUCUCCCAAUGUUUUUCUGCCACUAAGGUUGAAGGAUGUUAAUCAUGAUGAUAAGGAAGACAUUGGGAGAGAUCUCAAGACGCAUGUGCCAUCAUGCACAUUACUAAUGCAAAGGGGACUAAAGUCAAAACUAUUGGAUUUAUUCCACUAGCUUUUGGAGAUGACUUAAUUUUUCCAUCUUAUUGAUGAUAUUUUGUUCAUGCUCCUAGUUAUUGGAGAACCUUAACUCUCAAACAGAUGAGGUGAUUUUGUAUGUUAUUAAGUCAACUCCAAUUAUGUAAUGUUAGUCCCACCUUGGUGAGAUGAGUUAUGUUUUCACUAAAUAAAUCUUUUGUAAAGAUUAUAUGCUAUGUUACAAUUGAAGAUGUAAAAGAAGUGUAACUAAUGAGACCUCAUCAAAAUUGUGGUUUUAGACCACAUUUCGAGGGGGAGAAUGGAAGUCUCAUUUAAUAUGAGAUGUGACGUUCACUUCUCCUACUUAGACCAUAUCAUGUACAACUAAGCAAAAUAUGUAUCUCAAUUCUCUAAUUAAGAUGGAACCAACGAGAAGUCUUGGUUGGAGAGAAUGUAUGAAAAGCACAUUAUAAUGUUGGUUGUCUAAUUAAGAUGCAACAAGUCUUAUUUAGAAGAAUGAAUGAAAAAUAACUCCUUUAUUAUGUUAAUGUGUACUUAGUCCCUUAUGAGCAUUAUGAAGCACACAUGAAUGCUAAAGUGGCAAGCUUGCUAGUCUAAUGACCGUCAUGAUGUAACAUGUUGAUUAUAUAUCUGACCAACGUCGUUUAUAAUCAUAUGGGACACUCACUCAAGUGGCAUGUUUGUCAGUAUUAUGUGGCUUGUGGUUAUAUUUUCUGACUAACGUUGUUUAUAAUCAUUUGUCACGGUUCAUUAAGUUCUUUUCCAUCUUCAUCCCAAUGGUGUUGUGGUUUAGAGCUGAGAUGAUUGUUAUUAAUAUUUUGGAUAUAUUUUCCAUCUUCUAAAUAAAGUGAUCAUCAGGGAACCUGGAGCGUAUGAACAUUAAUCUUAAGGAUAACUUCAUUAGAUCUUUGUUCAUAUGCAUCAGGUAAAUUGAGGGGAACUUAUUUUUCUCUAAUGCAAUACUUAUUGUUGAGACUCAACAAUUUCCCUACGAUAGAUAAUGUGUGUGAAUGAUCAUCUUAGUGGCUUGUUGCCAUAUAGGAUGAAGAUUAUGAGCCCUAAUGAUGUAUGGAACUCCAUAGAAUUCCUCAGUGAGUUGUUGUGACAUUUGUGUUAUUACUAUGACAUGCUCUUGUGUUGACUUAGUUGAUAAUGUAUGUAUGACUCAACUGUACGGUUAUGUCAUGGGUGAAGUUGACAUAAGGCAUGUUAUCUAAAGAAAUACAAUUAUGAGAUAAUACAAGUGUUGGGACACUCAUACCAUAAGACGAGGGGGAGUAAGGUCACUACCUUGUGGAGAUAGAAUAUUUUGGCGAGCCAAGUAAUUUCUAUCUUCUAUUUGUAACAUGAAGGAUCUUGGUGAUGCCUCAUACUUUGCUUCUAUUGAGUUUCGCCAAGAUAUAGGUUCAAAAGGAGUAUAAGUUUUAUUAUGAUGACAUCAUCGAUAGAGUACGGAAGAAAAUAUUACAUGGUAGUACGUACUCUAUCUCACCUGCUACUAAAUUCAAGGGCAAUAAAGGUGGACAGUUUAGUGUCCAAGGAACCAUUAUGAACUGAUCAGGUAAUGUUAGUUCCUUAUGCUUCAGUUGUCAGAAGCAAUGCAAGUAUUCAAAUAUCAACUUGCCCUAUUUAUGACCGGGAUAAUUGGCAAAUAUACAAGUCCAGAAAUGGACAACCGGAGAAGCCGUGAAAAGUCUUGUAGAUAUGCAAGGCAAUAAAAGUUUACAUGCUCACUACUAACAAGUCUGAUAACCUCAAUAUCCUUGGUUAUUCAGACAUUGUUUCUGCGAGGUGUGUGGAUAUUAAAGUUUCCACGUUAUGUUACAUCCUCACUCUCGCAUAUGGAGCUAUAUCGUGGAAAAGCUCCAUAAUGACAUUGAUGGCAUUAGAAAUAAUGCAAUUUACGAUGUGGCACGUUAAGAGGCUAUUGGGCGGGUUGUAUGUCAAAGAAGUUCUAUUCCCGAAAUUAAGGUGGUAGACAACAUUUAUAAAAACCACCUACUGCAUUAUGAACACGCAGUUUUCUAUGCGAGUAACAACAAGUCAAAUGGUGUUGCCAAAACCAUUGACAAUAUGUAUCAUGUUGUGAAAGAUAGAAUCCAAGAUCAAGCUAAUGAUGUUAAGCAUAUAAAAAUGAUUUGUAUGUAUUACGGAUCCGUUUACCAAAGAGGCUCACCACCCAUACUCAUGAUUAUGUUGCCGGCAUGGGUUAGGAAAGCUUUUUGAUCCUGGAAAUUAGGACCAUCUUAUAAACCAACUCCCAAAAAGUAUUAUGUUUUCCAUUUUGAGAUAGAGUGAUGUACUAUAGGUAAAGAGGUUCAGUGGCAUCUCAUUGGUCAUUGCAACACUUUAUUUUGGUGUGUUAUUUCUAUCGAGUGUGGGCUUAUGAUGUUUAUUAACCAUAUGAUCAAGGGGGAGAAUGUUGGAAUUGAUCUACGGUUAUAACAAACUGAGACAAAGAAGGGGAGGAUUUGCAUCCCCAGUACAUGCCCUGAUCGGGGGCAUUGACCCAACUUUUGGUUUUGGUCCCUGUCCCCUUCGCACCACUUACAAAAUGAGGAGGUCGUACCCCUUGGGGUGAAACACACGUACGAAACACACGUACGGGUUAGCACCCAGUUACUCCUAACAGCCGAUCCUGAAAGGGUGCUUAAGGGGAUCAGAAGACCACCUCCACCGCCGGCCACCUCCAGGUCCGUGCCGGCGGCAUCCUUCGUGUCUGCUACAUCGCCUGCUGAUGCCCUUCCUCCCGACGAUCUUCUCACUGCUGGAGAUGCUAAGGUGGAGCCAGGGGCUAUCCU
rnacentral:lncRNA from 1 species